ensembl:lncRNA
CUCAGAUUCAUUUGAGCGUGUUGAGCUGUAGACGAAUGGUGGACCCAAAUAGCUUCGUCAGAUAGGAUGCCCCGUCUCCAUGUUUCCGAGUCGACAGGACAGUUUGAAGUAGGCAGAGAAACUGCGUUCCUCUGUGGACCCGUUCGCCCGGUGAGCGAGCCAGCGGGAGUCAGGGAUGAUAUCUCGUUUGGCACCGGCACCGAAUAUUUUCAUGAGCAGGCUGUUAGGCACCUCAAGUACCCUUUCUGGGACUCUCUGUCCAGUCUCGCAGCUUUGCGUGGAUUGUACCCAAACCACAACAUCUGGAGACGCUGGACAAGAAUGGGGCAAAAAAUGUGAUCUGUAAAGUAAGGUCCUCUGAGUCACUACAGAGCCCGCUGGAUUGAUGGCAAAUUGGCACGAAUGCAAGAUCUGACUCAACGAAUGUACUGGGUGAAAAGAAGAAGGGAUUCUCUCUGCGGACGCAUUUAUAGAACCUCAUGUCACAUUGGUGGUUCUCAGCUUUUAAGUGAUUGCACGUAUAAUAAGACGAGCAAGAGGAACGAUACAUACCUGUGGCAGUUUAAUAAAUCCACCAAAAUCUAAGCUCAUAUUCAAUUUAUAGUGACAGCAACAUGACUGCCAGGUACAUGUCCUUCUCACUGCUUCUUGUUUAGUUUCCUUCUUGUCUCUCUAUGGAAACCUAGAAUUAACCAAGAUGUUACAAAUCCUCUGUUCUAGAGAAGCAGCUAGAAACAUAUUAACUGGAUAAUAUGUGUUGCAAACAUGCACAAUAAAAAUGUUGGCAGGGAGUUUAAUCAGUCCAAUGUAUGUGCAGUUGCAAUGUAUCAUGAACUUUAUUGCUUAGUUUCUGCGGUGGGACUGACUACUCAUCACAUAAUGUAAAUGUAGAGAGAACGAUAUAGUAACUUUAAAAUGCUUGCUUAAAAUGCUCAAGUUACAGAUGUAUCAUACAUUCUUGGGAGUAAGAUCAUAUUUCUCAUACAACUCUUGGCAAGAAGGCUUACGUCUUCAAAAAUAUCUAAAUUUCAUUGAAUCCCAAUUUCAAUUCGUUGUAUUGAGAAUGAGAAAUGAUGCCCUAACAACAACAUUCAGUGGGAACAUUGUAUAGGGCAAUCAUUUCUAAAUUGACAUGUGUCAAGCAGCUGUUCAUAAAACCCAAACCAAAAACCCACAACUAAGAAAGGGUUUUGUACGAAACAAUUGGAAAAGAACUUAAACAUGAUGUUCAUUAGAAUCCCAGCAAGUUUGACAAUGAAAAAAAAGUUAAUUGAGUUGUGAAAAUCCUGACUAAUUGAAAAUUUAAAGGUGUGUGUGUGUGUGUGUGUGUGUGUGUGUGUGUGUGUGUGUGUGUGUGUGUGUGUGUGUGUGUGUGUGUGUGUGUGUGUGCGUGUGUGUGUGUGUGGUCUGCACCUCAAGAGGUGAAGAGUGCAAUGAGGCUGAAUGGUGAAUAUAUUAAUGUUGUGUUAUAACACCUUUUAGUGUCCAUCAACUUCUACCUGAGGAAUUCAAGAGUCUGCACAGCAUGUACAAGCACACACUUUAUGUUUCCAGCUACUGAAAGCGAGAAAAUGUAUUCUGUGCAACAAUCUGAAUGGAGCCAAGAACAAUGAAGCAGGGGUUGAGCUUUUAAGCCUGGUCUUUAUUUGAAAACAUCGUCUAUGUGCUGAGAACAUGAUCAAGUCCUUUAUUCCUGGCACGUAAAUGCUCUUUCUUUAUCUCUUUCUCUUUGUCUUUUGUUGUUUCAUCCAUCUUUUGGUCUUUUUCCCCCAUCCCCACCAGGCUCUCUGUUUAAUCAGAUUUGCUUCACCCCGUCUUGGUUUCCAGCAGUCGAUAUUUUAUUUGUGUUUUGAAAAUACCAAAAAUACAUUUCCUGAGAAACGAUCAGUUGCUCAAUAGAAACUAUGUAGUAGAAGUAUUUGCUCUGAAACUGGAUGAAAUGAG